GAUGAACGCUGGCGGUAUGCUUAACACAUGCAAGUCGAACGGUCACUUCGGUGAUAGUGGCGGACGGGUGAGUAACGCGUGAGAAUCUGUCUUCAGGUCGGGGACAACAGUUAGAAAUGACUGCUAAUACCGGAUGUGCCUUUGGGUGAAAGAUUUAUUGCCUGAAAAAGAGCUCGCGUCAGAUUAGCUAGUAGGUGGUGUAAGAGACUACCUAGGCUCCGAUCUGUAGCUGGUCUGAGAGGACGAUCAGCCACACUGGAACUGAGACACGGUCCAGACUCCUACGGGAAGCAGCAGUGGGGAAUUUUCCGCAAUGGGCGAAAGCCUGACGGAGCAAUACCGCGUGAGGGACGAAGGCUUUUGGGUCGUAAACCUCUUUUCUCAAGGAAGAUGAUGACGGUACUUGAGGAAUAAGCAUCGGCUAACUCUGUG
rnacentral:rRNA from 1 species